GCCGGAGUGGCGGAAUUGGUAGACGCGCACGACUCAAAAUCGUGUACCGAAAGGUGGUGAGGGUUCGAUUCCCUCCUCCGGCA
rnacentral:tRNA from 1 species